ACAGAUUUAAAGAUGGUUCUUCAAAACUGAAAGAAUGGAGAAAAUUCCAUAGAGCACCUGGUCAGGCAUAGGAUUGUAGGUGGAAAAGAUGCAUCCAAAUCAGCGAACCCUACAAUACCUCCUCACAACCAUUUAGGAAUAGAUUGGAAUGGAGGUAUUAUCAUCCUGAUGAAUAAAUCUGAGUGUCCUUCACAACUCUUCUGAGAAAUUCCAUGCAUUAGCAGAUGUGAAUCCUUUGAGCAAUAUUGAGUUGAGUUGACAAUCGGCAAUAAUGGAUAUAAUUUCCCAUGU